rnacentral:rRNA from 1 species
UACAGAGGGUGCGAGCGUUGUCCGGAAUCGCUGGGCGUAAAGGGCGCGUAGGUGGCCCGACAAGUCUGUGGUGAAAGCUCGACGCUCAACGUCGAGUCGGCCAUAGAUACUGUUGGGCUGGAGCACUGUAGAGGCUCAUGGAAUUCCGGGUGUAGCGGUGGAAUGCGUAGAGAUCCGGAAGAACACCGGUGGCGAAGGCGGUGAGCUGGGCAGUAGCUGACACUGAGGCGCGACAGCGUGGGGAGCAAACAGG